GGAGGGAGAGAAGCAGAACCUGCUUGCUUUAAAGGAGCCUACUGGACAGGAGCCACUUACACUCGUGUAAGCAGCUCCUGUCCGGUAGGCUCCUUUAAAGCAAGCAGGCUCUCUGUCCCUCC
rnacentral:miRNA from 1 species